GGCGUGGUAGCUCAAUUGGUUAGAGCGAUGGAUUCAUAACCCGUAGGUAGGCGGUUCAAAACCGCCCCACGCUA
rnacentral:tRNA from 1 species